UACAUUUGCCCUGCAAACGGUUCCCGAGAGGCCGCGCCGCCUCGAGGGAUUAAAAGGGAAUGCCGUGCAAUUCGGCAACAGUUCCCGCUGCUGUGAGCUUCGUCCCGGUGGAUGCCGGCUGUCGUCGCGACAAUCUUUUGCCACUGACCUUCGGGUUGGGAAGGCGUCGCGUCGGAAGCGAGUCAGAAGACCUGCCUUUGCCUGAAUCGAGCG
rnacentral:ncRNA from 2 species